CCUACCCCUCCCCUCUUCAUACUAGACAAGUGGAAUGCACUGGUGCCGGCGUCUUCCAAGCUCACUCCCGCCCGCUGCUGUCGGAAAACAAACUGGCCAGCACUGAUUAAGAACAGCCUGUACCACAAGGAACAAUGGACAACUUCUCUUUGAGGACCAAGCGUCGUAAAAUUAAGGCUAAAGUCCAAGAGCACUUAAGGAUUGUAGAAAUGGAAACUGAAGACGUUAACAUCCAAAUAUGCCAUGACGAUGAAACAACUCUUUCUUUUAAAACAAACACGGAUUACGUUGACAGUGAAACAAACAUGGCAGACAUUGACAGUGAAACAAACAUAGAGGAUUUAGACUUUGAAACAAACAUGGCAGAUGUUGACAGUGAAACAAACCUGUAGUAUUUACACUUUGAAACGAACAUAGCAGAGUUUGACCUUGAAAUGAACAUGGAUGGCGAAACAAACUAUGAAUCCAGUGACAGCAAUGACUGCUUUAAUUAUUCGGACUCAAAGUUAAAGAGAAGUUGGCUGAUUGGGCAGCAAGUUGUAUAAUAAGUGAUCUCCCAGACUCUAAUGUGUUAAUAAUUGGUCUAUAUUCUGGGGGAACAAAACUCUGCUCAGUACAAGAAUAUUUAAGUGAAUUUAGUCAAGAUUGAGGUAUAGAAGUACUGUUGAACGUGCAAUGCUGAUCUCCUACCAUAGUGUAAAUAAUUUGAUGAGCAAAGCAUAAUGCAACCCAGGAAAAAUUGUGAAAAGGGCUCAUCUAACUUGAUUUCAGGUGGACUGAAGAACAACUCUGACACCACACAUAAACAAGAAGGAUGCUGAGCGAUCCAUCUCUAAAUGGUUUUGUGGCGCUCGUGACAGGGAGGCAAUAGAGCACUAAGGGCACAGAGGAAUCUUGAGAAACGCUUGUCAUUGGGUUAAGAUUCACAGAAAUGCUAUUCAGAGUGACUAGGUUAUGGUCAUUGGUUAGUGUGAAGUGUUCCACAGAAUGUGACCUGUUUGGAAUGUCAAGAAAACGUAGAGGCGAUCUGUAUGGUGUACAGAGUAAGAACUGUUGUUUAGCUGUUUUCACAUGGAAUGUGUUUGGUUAAUUAAAACUAUGUAUACACACAUUGGAACUGUGCCAGUUCUUCAGAUUUUGUUUUUGGUAUUGCAUGUUAAAGGUAACUUCAAACUUCUCAAAGGUUUCAAGGAAUUAUGCUCAUUGAUGACAUACUUAAAUAUAAAUUGUCUAAUGCA